AUUGAACGCUGGCGGCAGGCCUAACACAUGCAAGUCGAAUGGUAACAGGAAACAGCUUGCUGUUUCGCUGACGAGUGGCGGACGGGUGAGUAAUGUCUGGGAAACUGCCUGAUGGAGGGGGAUAACUACUGGAAACGGUAGCUAAUACCGCAUAACGUCUCAAGACCAAAGAGGGGGACCUUCGGGCCUCUUGCCAUCAGAUGUGCCCAGAUGGGAUUAGCUAGUAGGUGGGGUAAAGUCUCACCUAGGCGACGAUCCCUAGCUGGUCUGAGAGAUUGACCAGCCACACUGGAACUGAGACACGGUCCAGACUCCUACGGGAGGCAGCAGUGGGGAAUAUUGCACAAUGGGCGCAAGCCUGAUGCAGCCAUGCCGCGUGUAUGAAGAAGGCCUUCGGGUUGUAAAGUACUUUCAGCGGGGAGGAAGGGAGUAAAGUUAAUACCUUUGCUCAUUGACGUUACCCGCAGAAGAAGCACCGGCUAACUCCGUG
rnacentral:rRNA from 1 species